AAUAGAUACCCGGGUAGUCCACGCCCUAAACGAUGUCAACUGGUUGUUGGAGGGGUUCCCUUUCAGUAACGAAGCUAACGCGUGAAGUUGACCGCCUGGGGAGUACGGCCGCAAGGUUGAAACUCAAAGGAAUUGAACGGGGACCCGCACAAGCGGUGGAUGAUGUGGUUUAAUUCGAUGCAACGCGAAAAACCUUACCUACCCUUGACAUGUCUGGAAUUCUGCAGAGAUGUGGAAGUGCUCGAAAGAGAGCCAGAACACAGGUGCUGCAUGACCGUCGUCAGCUCGUGUCGUGAGAUGUUGGGUUAAGUCCCGCAACGAGCGCAACCCUUGUCAUUAGUUGCUACGAAAGGGCACUCUAAUGAGACUGCCGGUGACAAACCGGAGGAAGGUGGGGAUGACGUCAGGUCCUCAUGGGCCCUUAUGGGUAGGGCUACACACGUCAUACAAUGGCCGGUACAGAGGGCUGCCAACCCGCGAGGGGGAGCGUAAUCCCAGAAAACCGGUCGUAGUCCGGAUCGCAGUCUGCAACUCGACUG
rnacentral:rRNA from 1 species